rnacentral:rRNA from 1 species
UACGUAGGGACCGAGCGUUGUCCGGAAUCAUUGGGCGUAAAGAGCGUGUAGGCGGCUAUUUAAGUCCUGCGUGAAAUCCUGCGGCUCAACCGCAGACGGUCGUGGGAAACUGGAUGGCUAGAGUGCGGGAGAGGAGAGUGGAAUUCCCGGUGUAGCGGUGAAAUGCGCAGAUAUCGGGAAGAACACCCGUGGCGAAGGCGGCUCUCUGGAACGCAACUGACGCUGAGACGCGAAAGCGUGGGGAGCGAACGAGG